rnacentral:rRNA from 1 species
GACGAACGCUGGCGGCGUGCUUAACACAUGCAAGUCGAACGAUGAAGCUAGAGCUUGCUCUGGUGGAUUAGUGGCGAACGGGUGAGUAACACGUGAGUAACCUGCCCCGAACUCUGGGAUAACUGCUGGAAACGGUAGCUAAUACCGGAUAUGACCAAUGAAGGCAUCUUCUGUUGGUGGAAAGAAUUUCGGUUCGGGAUGGACUCGCGGCCUAUCAGCUUGUUGGUGAGGUAACGGCUUACCAAGGCGACGACGGGUAGCCGGCCUAAGAGGGUGAUCGGCCACACUGGGACUGAGACACGGCCCAGACUCCUACGGGAGGCAGCAGUGGGGAAUAUUGCACAAUGGGCGCAAGCCUGAUGCAGCAACGCCGCGUGAGGGACGACGGCCUUCGGGUUGUAAACCUCUUUUAGUAGGGAAGAAGCGAAAGUGACGGUACCUGCAGAAAAAGCACCGGCUAACUACGUGCCAGCCGCCGCCGUAA